UCUUAUAUGUCUAGACUUAACUUUUUGAAUUUUCUUUUUUUUUUUUGAUUUAGUACAAAAAACAUGAACAUACGGAAUACAGUUAUAUUUAUUGGUUUAAUGUCUUUGGUUACUAUUCUAUCAUCUGUUUCAAUUCUGGAUCACUUUUGAUUGAGUUGAUUUUUCUUGUCACUGUGGGUCAUAUUUUCCUGCUUCUUUGCAUGCUAGUUAAAAGUUUAAAUUGUAUACCAGAGAUUGUGAACUUUACCUUGUUUUCAUAGAUAUUUUUGUAUUCUUGUAAAUAUUCCUGACUUUAUUUUGGCAUGCUGUUAAGUUUCUUGGGCAGAGUUCAGUCAUUUCUUGUCUUUCUAAGUUUUGUUAGGCUGUGGUGUACCAAAUCAACAUUUAAUCUAGGGUUCAUUUACUCCACUACUGAGGCAAAACCCUUUUGAGCACUCUACCCUGUGUCCUAUGAAUUGUGAGGUUUUCCAUUCUUACUGAUGGGAACACGCACUAUUCUAGGCCCUGUGUGUAAUGCUGCUGUGAAUGUUGCUUUAUAUGUCUCUUGGAAGAAAUUCAGCUUCGUAUUUCAAGAGUAUAUAGAUGAGAGGGAAUCGAUUUCUUUCCAUGAUACCCAGUCAUGUUAUGUAUGAAUAAUGACAGGUUUACAUAUUCAUUUCUUAUUUAUUUAUUUUGAGACGGAGUCUCACUCUGUUGCCCAGGCUGGAGUUUAGUGGCGCGAUCUCGGCUCGCUGCAAGCUCUGCCUCCCGGGUUCACGCCAUUCUCCUACCUCAGCCUCGCAAGUAGCCGUUCCAUUACCCCGAGGGCAACCUAUGUAACCAUGGUGUUUUUUGAUGGGGAGUAUCCUUCUACUUUGUACUGUGCUUAACCAUUAUACAUUUAAACAGUAUAUGUUUGGGCAUGUACUAUACAUACUAUUCAGCUUCUUAUGAUGUGUUUUAUUGAUUGUUUUAUAACAGUGUAUGUAGAAUUACGUCAUUCUUUUGGGUAGCGGAAAUUCCAUGCUAUGGAAAUAUAUCAGUAAAGAGUUCGUCAUGGAGCUUUUAUGGAGUUGCAGAAUCGGGUGGGGCAAGAAUAAAAUAAUUGAUUUAAUUGUAAAUAAUAAAAAUAUGUUGGCAGGCUAAUUGGUGAUCAAUACUAGGAGAAAAAUAAAGCAUGCAGGCAGAAUAUGGAGUGCCGAGAUUCAGAGUUUAAAAUAGGAUAUACCUUAGGGAAGGACCUACAAGAAACUGGUGGUUGCUUUUAAUAGAGGGGAACUGAGUGUGUGAAAGACAGGAGUGGGAAUGAGACAUACGUUUCACUAGUACUUUUUUUGUGCCUACUGAAUUUUUUUUUAACAUGCAGUAUGUUUAUUGGAAUAAAUUCAAUUUUAUUGAAAGAUAGGCUACUGUGGUGUUAGAGGUGAGGGAGCAAGGGAGCAAGCCGUCCAAUUUUUGGCAAUUCAUUCUGGUGCUUUCACUGUGGCCAGGCCUUCUUACUCAGAAAUGAGUAGUAAGUGGUUCUAUAAUCGUAUAUUCCUACCGAUAGCAUAUUAAGGAAGGAAAAGGGCAUCCUGAGAAAGCAAGGGAGAUUUGAGUGGUAAAUGGGUGUGUUAGACCCUUCUAGUUCUUGUCUGUUGCUUCCACAUCUGUUUCCAAUAGCUGUAAUCAUGAAUUAGAUCCCAUUUCCUUUUUUAAAAAAGUCAGUGGUCUGUGGUUCUUGGGUGGGAGAGAUAAAGGAGGUUUAACAAUUGAGAAUUUCAAAGUCAUCAGUGGCAGAGCACGCGCUCUAAUAGCAUGAAUAAUUUAAUCAUAACUAAGGGAGCUUAUUUGGAAAUAUAUACUUGAUCAUAGAAUAUUCCUCUCCCAACUUUUUUGUUGACAGCUUUACUGAGGUGUAAUUUACAUGCCAUAAAAUACACCCAUUCUAACUGUACGUAGUUCAGUGAUUUUUAGUCAACUUAACAGCAUUGUACCACAGUUAACACAAUGCAAUAUUAUAGCAUUUCUAUCAUUCUGAAAAGUUUUCCUCAGACCUUUUGGAAGUCAUUUUCUGUUCGCGCCCCUUGGUGAACACUGAUGCUUUCUGUUACUCUUGAUUUGCCUUUUCUGAGUAUUUCACAUAAAUGGAAUCAUAAUGUAUAGUCUUUUGUGACUAGCUUCUCUCACUGAACGUGUUUUUGUGGUUCAUCUGUGUUGUCGCAUGUAUCUGUAGUUCUAUUUUUUAUUACUGAGUAGUAUUUCAUUCUGUGGAUAAUACCACAUUGUGUUUAUUCAUUCACUAGUUGAUGGGGAUUUGGAUCAUUUCUAGUUUUUGACUAUUAUGCAUAAUGAACAUUCAAGUACAAGUCUUUGUGAGGACAUCCUCUUUCAACUUUUUAUUUUGAAAAAUUUAAACCCCACAGAAAGAUUGAAGUUUCUGUACUUGGGUAAAUAUACCCCAGAUGUCUCAUUGACUUGUUACAUUGUAUUUUAUGCUUAACUCUUUCAGAGAGAAAUUUACUUAUGAAUUUGUUAUGGUAGUCUAAGGCUUGUUCUUUGCAUGUCAUCAACUGAUUUGAGAGCCAUACACUUGUUUCUGCAUAAGCCACACAAAUAAUACAUAGUCUGUGAUAAUUUAGCAUAGUAGAAUG
rnacentral:lncRNA from 1 species